rnacentral:rRNA from 1 species
AUGCACGCUGGCGGCGUGCCUAAUACCUGCCAGUCGAGCGCACAGACGAGGAGCUUGCUCCUCUGACGUUAGCGGCGGACGGGUUAGUAACACGUGGAUAACCUACCUAUAAGACUGGGAUAACUUCGGGAAACCGGAGCUAAUACCGGAUAAUAUAUUGAACCGCCUGGUUCAAUAGUGAAAGACGGUUUUGCUGUCACUUAUAGAUGGAUCCGCGCCGCAUUAGCUAGUUGGUAAGGUAACGGCUUACCAAGGCAACGAUGCGUAGCCGACCUGAGAGGGUGAUCGGCCACACUGGAACUGAGACACGGUCCAGACUCCUACGGGAGGCAGCAGUAGGGAAUCUUCCGCAAUGGGCGAAAGCCUGACGGAGCAACGCCGCGUGAGUGAUGAAGGUCUUCGGAUCGUAAAACUCUGUUAUUAGGGAAGAACAAAUGUGUAAGUAACUAUGCACGUCUUGACGGUACCUAAUCAGAAAGCCACGGCUAACUACGUG